rnacentral:rRNA from 1 species
CCUGGUUGAUCCUGCCAGUAGUCAUAUGCUUGUCUCAAAGAUUAAGCCAUGCAUGUGUAAGCACACACUGUUUAAAAGUGAAGCCGCGAAUGGCUCAUUACAACAGCCACAGUUUAUUAGAACUUACAAUCAUGGAUAACUGUGGUAAUUCUAGAGCUAAUACACGCACAAAAACUUCAACUGAAUUGGUUGAAGUGCUUUUAUUAGAACAAAAACCGAACGGCGUUUGACGAAUGUUGAACGUCGAAACUGUUUGGUGAAUCUGAAUAACUAUUUCUGAUCGCAUGGUCUAGCACCGGCGACAUCACUUUCAAGUGUCUGCCUUAUCAACCUUCGAUGGUAGUCUAUGCGACUACCAUGGUGAUAACGGGUAACGGAGAAUCAGGGUUCGACUCCGGAGAGGGAGCCUGAGAAACGGCUACCACAUCCAAGGAAGGCAGCAGGCGCGCAAAUUACCCACUCCCAGCUUGGGGAGGUAGUGACGAAAAAUAACGAGACGAUUCUCGUUUGAGAAACGUUAUCGAAAUGAGUACGCUUUACACACGCUAACGAGUAGCAAUUGGAGGGCAAGUCUGGUGCCAGCAGCCGCGGUAAUUCCAGCUCCAAUAGCGUAUAUUAAAGUUGCUGCGGUUAAAACGCUCGUAGUUGAAUUGUGGUCUUAGACAACAGUCCCCCUACAUAGGUGUGGCACGGUUGCUCGAGAUCUUCAUUCGUGGUUGCUGUUGUUGCUCUUCAUUGAGUGUCAAUGGUGCCUCGAGAUUUUACUUUGAAAAAAUUAGAGUGCUCAAAGCAGGUUGUGAUGCCUGAAUAAUGGUGCAUGGAAUAAUAGAAUACGAUCUCGGUUCUAUUUUGUUGGUUUUCGAACCGGAGAUAAUGAUUGAAAGGAACAGACGGGGGCAUUCGUAUUGCUGCGUUAGAGGUGAAAUUCUUGGAUCGCAGCAAGAUGAACAAUUGCGAAAGCAUUUGCCAAGAAUGUUUUCAUUAAUCAAGAACGAAAGUUAGAGGUUCGAAGGCGAUCAGAUACCGCCCUAGUUCUAACGGUAAACUAUGCCAACCAGCGAUUCGCCGAAGUUCAUUUAAGACUCGGCGAGCAGCUUCCGGGAAACCAAAGUGUUUCGGUUCCGGGGGAAGUAUGGUUGCAAAGCUGAAACUUAAAGGAAUUGACGGAAGGGCACCACCAGGAGUGGAGCCUGCGGCUUAAUUUGACGCAACACGGGAAAACUCACCCGGCCCGGACACUGGAAGGAUUGACAGAUUGACAGCUCUUUCUUGAUUCAGUGGGUAGUGGUGCAUGGCCGUUCUUAGUUGGUGGAGCGAUUUGUCUGGUUAAUUCCGAUAACGAACGAGACUCUACCCUAUUAAAUAGUGACAGUAUUGUAUUUUUUGUGCUGAUCACUUCUUAGAGGGACUGGCAAAUUGAAAGCUGCACGAAAAAGAGCAAUAACAGGUCUGUGAUGCCCUUCGAUGUCCGGGGCUGCACGCGCGCUACAAUGAAAGCGUCAACGUGAGUUACGUCCUUACCUGAAAAGGUUUGGCAAUCGAAUGAAACGUUUUCUUGAAUGGAAUAGGGAAUUGCAAUUGUUUCCCUUGAACGAGGAAUUCCCAGUAAGCGUGAGUCAUUAGCUCGCGUUGAUUACGUCCCUGCCCUUUGUACACACCGCCCGUCGCUACUACCGAUUGGAUGAUUUAGUGAGGUGUUUUGACUGGCGCCAGUAGUCGGAUGUAUUCGGCUUCGCGCCGGGAAAUUUCCCAAACCAAAUCAUCUAGAGGAAGUAAAAGUCGUAACAAGGUUUCCGUAGGUGAACCUGCGGAAG